GUUGACUGUAUAUCAUAAAUAUCUUCUUCAUGUUACUGAUCAUCUCUUACAGCUUGUGUAUUGAAGAAUUCUCUGAUACUGCUCAGUAGCUUUCUGAUGAUCUAGAAUAGACAUUGACAAUCUCAAUUGUAUCUCUGUCUGUCUUCAGAGUCAUUGUUACAAUGAGCUCAGAGAUUCUCUUCACUCUUCAUGCUGUGAUUGCUAUGUUUUUGUUGAUCAGAAAACACACUCUUAUGUCUUUCUUGUCUAUUUCUAUCUAUCAGAACCCACACUCUGUGAAGCAGCUUGUUUCUAUAUAUAACUACUGUUUGAGUCA
rnacentral:sRNA from 1 species